CCUACGGGAGGCAGCAGUGGGGAAUAUUGGACAAUGGGCGAAAGCCUGAUCCAGCAAUGCCGCGUGGAUGAAGAAGGUCUUCGGAUUGUAAAGUCCUUUCGACGGGGACGAUGAUGACGGUACCCGUAGAAGAAGCCCCGGCUAACUUCGUGCCAGCAGCCGCGGUAAUACGAAGGGGGCUAGCGUUGCUCGGAAUGACUGGGCGUAAAGGGCGCGUAGGCGGUUCGAUUUGUUAGGUGUGAAAUUCCUGGGCUCAACCUGGGGGCUGCACUUAAAACGGUCGGGCUUGAGUUCGGAAGAGGGUUGUGGAAUUUCCAGUGUAGAGGUGAAAUUCGUAGAUAUUGGAAAGAACACCGGUGGCGAAGGCGGCAACCUGGUCCGAUACUGACGCUGAGGCGCGAAAGCGUGGGGAGCAAACAGGAUUAGAUACCCUGGUAGUCCACGCUGUAAACGAUGUGUGCUGGAUGUUGGGUGACCUAGUCACUCAGUGUCGUAGCUAACGCGGUAAGCACACCGCCUGGGGAGUACGGCCGCAAGGUUGAAACUUAAAUGAAUUGACGG
rnacentral:rRNA from 1 species